CACGUAGGGGGGCGAGCGUUGUCCGGAUUUAUUGGGCGUAAAGGAGCUCGUGAGGCGGCUCAGUAAGUCAGGUGUGAAAACUCCAGGCUCAACCUCGAGACGCCGAUGGAAACCAUCUGGCUAGAGUCCGGAAGAGGAGAGUGGAAUUCCCGGUGUAGCGGUGAAAUGCGCAGAUAUCGGGAAGAACACCCGUGGCUAAGGCGGCUCUCUAGUACGGUACUGACGCUGAGACGCGAAAGCGUGGGGAGCGAACAGG
rnacentral:rRNA from 1 species